UGACAAGUGACACUUUUUCAAAUUGAAUUUCCCCCAACCAAACCCCACUCGGUGGUGAUGUGGAAACCCGACAAGAUAUUGAGAAGUAGCCCUGCAGGGCUUGUCAGCCGAGAUGUCAUAAAUACACAUGACUGCAGGCGGAUGAAGUACAAUGGACGGGUGCUACAACGACAUUUUAGCACCCCUAAUCCUGGCCAUAAUGGUGGCCAAUGGACAUCCACUCACCCUGGACGAGAUCGUUGACUCACUGAUGGACGUGAUCAACUCUCAAACUGAUUUCGCUGGUGUUUCUGAAAAUCUAGGCCACAAGAUGUUUGAUUCUAGAAGGGGCCACUAAGAGAAGCUACAUUUUGGAAUUGGACAUCCAGUGAAUUUAAAUAAAAUAAAUUUUCCAUCAAAAAUUUGAACAGCUUUA